UUCGGGUUGUAAAGCACUUUCAGUCGUGAGGAAGGUAGUGUAGUUAAUAGCUGCAUUAUUUGACGUUAGCGACAGAAGAAGCACCGGCUAACUCCGUGCCAGCAGCCGCGGUAAUACGGAGGGUGCGAGCGUUAAUCGGAAUUACUGGGCGUAAAGCGCAUGCAGGUGGUUUGUUAAGUUCAGAUGUGAAAGACCCGGGGCGUCAACCUCGGAAUAGCAUUUGUAAACUAGGCAGACUAGAGUACUGUAGAUGGGGGUAGGAAUUUCAGGUGUAGCGGUGAAAUGCGUAGAGAUCUGAAGGAAUACCGGUGGCGAAGGCGGCCCCCUCGGACAGAUACUGACACUCAGAUGCGAAAGCGUGGGGAGCAAACAGGAUUAGAUACCCUGGUAG
rnacentral:rRNA from 1 species